ensembl:snRNA U7 U7 small nuclear RNA
AAGUGUUACAGCUCUUUUAAAAUUUAUCUAACAGGUUUUCUGUUUUUUAACUAGAAAACUCCC